AUUUGUAGUAUCCUCUGAGCGUAGUAAUUUUUUUUCUCGCUUUUGUUAGGUGCUAUAACUCCCAGCCGCUAAACCCCCAAUUUUUUGUGGUUGACCUCGGAUCAGGUAGGAAUACCCGCUGAACUUAAGCAUAUCAAUAAGCGGAGGA
rnacentral:rRNA from 1 species